GCGUGACCAACCUGCCCCAUGCUCCAGAAUAGCUCUUGGAAACGGGUGGUAAUGCUGGAUGCUCCAACUUGACGCAUGUCUUGUUGGGAAAGUGUUUAGUGGCAUGGGAUGGGGUCGCGUCCUAUCAGCUUGUAGGCGGGGUAAUGGCCCACCUAGGCUUCGACGGGUAGCCGGCCUGAGAGGGCGGACGGCCACAUUGGGACUGAGAUACGGCCCAGACUCCUACGGGAGGCAGCAGUC
rnacentral:rRNA from 1 species